ACCUUUUUUUUAGAGAAAGGAUCGCGGGGCUUCUCACAGGCAGCGCUUGUGUUCUCUUCCAGAGAACCACUGGGGAAACCCCGAAGCUUUGCGUCGGAAGUGGCCCGCGGGGGGGGCAGGCACAGACAAGUUGUUGCUCCCCAAAUUUUGCAGCUCCACUGCUGACCCAGAUUCCAAAGGUACAAAGGUCAUAGAAUUAAAUAGUAAAGCGGAACUUUUUAGGCAAUGCCGGCCAGGUAACCUCCUUGGCAUAUCGCCAGCAACUCCAAUAAAGAGAUUGAAAUCACUCUCCACAAGGGUGAUGAUCCGACAGGAUUUAUUCAGUCCCCCACCAUGCAAGAAUCGUGCGCUUUAAACAAACUGUCCUAUUGUAAGAGCACAUCAAGUAUUUAAAAUCAAAAGCUGAUACACUGAUUAAACACGUGAUUUGGAGUUAGAGGACAAAGCGUUGCCCACCGCUGUUCCUCCCCUAAAUUGGAGGGCAAACUCCAGCCUAGGCCCAUAAAUUUGAUAGGUAAAAAGUAAGAAAGGUCUGAGAGCCCCAAGACGAGAUCCAGAUGCCGGCGGGCUCUCUGAGAAGUGGCUUCACUUCCUGUCUAAUCAGGACAAGUUUGGCAGUAUAUGUGGAAAAACAAGUCUUGCAGAUGCUGCCCUCAAAGCGUUAUGCUGCUGGCCUCCUUUGGAGUAGGAAGUCCACGCCUCUGAGUAAGUGCUGGCUGACAGCCACAUGUACCUAGUGACUACGUUGGACAGUCCAGAUACAGAGUGUUCCUAUCAUGACAAAUGAUGACAGAUGCCACUUCUAACAGAACACCUGAAACACAGCAGUGGAGAGAGGAUCCCCUGGGCAAGCUGGCUAACCAAGCUGAAUCAACAAGUUCUGAGCCCAACAUGAAACAUCUCA